rnacentral:rRNA from 1 species
AUGCCGGUAGCGAGGUCAGCCAGACCGAAUGCGGCACCGUCGUCCAGACCGAGCGAGGCGCGUACGAGCCAUGAGCAAUGGAGGGAGGGUCCGAGUACUAGAACGACAUUUCCACGACAUGACUCAUCUCUGCCGCUGCAUCGCUCUUCUUCGAUGCAGCUUCGUCAGGGGCAGACAUCUCAGGCCAUGGCACGGGCUUGGAUUCGAUGCCCGAGCAGUUUCUUUCCCCUAACCCAUAUGCGUACACAGGAUAUGAUGCAUACACCCAAGGUGAGGGAUCUCAGCCGUAUCUCUCCACGCGAGGGAUCCCCAUGCCCGAGGAGACUCGUGUACCAGAUUUAA